AGAGUUUGAUCCUGGCUCAGGACGAACGCUGGCGGCGUGCUUAACACAUGCAAGUCGAACGGUGAAGCCCUUGGCUUUUGUUGGGGGUGGAUGAGUGGCGAACGGGUGAGUAACACGUGAGUAACCUGCCCCUUUCUUCUGGAUACCGCCACGAAAGUGGUGUUAAUACGGGAUAUUCUGGCUCUGUCGCAUGGUGGGGUUGGGAAAGGUCUUUUCUGGUGGGGGAUGGGCUCGCGGCCUAUCAGCUUGUUGGUGGGGUGAUGGCCUACCAAGGCGUUGACGGGUAGCCGGCCUGAGAGGGUGGACGGCCACACUGGGACUGAGACACGGCCCAGACUCCUACGGGAGGCAGCAGUGGGGAAUAUUGCACAAUGGGCGGAAGCCUGAUGCAGCGACGCCGCGUGAGGGAUGGAGGCCUUCGGGUUGUGAACCUCUUUCGCCAGUGAAGCAGGCCUGCUCCUUGUGGGUGGGUUGACGGUAGCUGGAUAAGAAGCGCCGGCUAACUACGUGCCAGCAGCCGCGGUAAUACGUAGGGCGCGAGCGUUGUCCGGAAUUAUUGGGCGUAAAGGGCUUGUAGGCGGCUGGUCGCGUCUGCCGUGAAAUCCCCUGGCUUAACUGGGGGCGUGCGGUGGGUACGGGCCGGCUUGAGUGCGGUAGGGGAGACUGGAAUUCCUGGUGUAGCGGUGGAAUGCGCAGAUAUCAGGAGGAACACCGGUGGCGAAGGCGGGUCUCUGGGCCGUUACUGACGCUGAGGAGCGAAAGCGUGGGGAGCGAACAGGAUUAGAUACCCUGGUAGUCCACGCCGUAAACGUUGGGCACUAGGUGUGGGGGGCCUUUUCCGGGUCUUCCGCGCCGUAGCUAACGCAUUAAGUGCCCCGCCUGGGGAGUACGGCCGCAAGG
rnacentral:rRNA from 1 species